rnacentral:rRNA from 1 species
GUAACAGGUCUUCGGAUGCUGACGAGUGGCAAACGGGUGARUAAUACAUCGGAACGUGCCCAAUCGUGGGGGAUAACACAUCGAAAGAUGUGCUAAUACCGCAUAAGAUCUACGGAUGAAAGCGGGGGACUCGCAAGAGCCUCGCGCGAAUGGAGCGGCCGAUGGCAGAUUAGGUAGUUGGUGUGGUAAAAGCGCACCAAGCCGACGAUCUGUAGCUGGUCUGAGAGGACGACCAGCCACACUGGGACUGAGACACGGCCCAGACUCCUACGGGAGGCAGCAGUGGGGAAUUUUGGACAAUGGGCGCAAGCCUGAUCCAGCAAUGCCGCGUGCAGGAUGAAGGCCUUCGGGUUGUAAACUGCUUUUGUACGGAACGAAAAGGCUCUGGUUAAUACCUGGGGCCCAUGACGGUACCGUAAGAAUAAGCACCGGCUAACUACGUGCCAGCAGCCGCGGUAAUACGUAGGGUGCAAGCGUUAAUCGGAAUUACUGGGCGUAAAGCGUGCGCAGGCGGUGUUGUAAGACAGAGGUGAAAUCCCCGGGCUCAACCUGGGAACUGCCUUUGUGACUGCAACGCUAGAGUACGGCAGAGGGGGAUGGAAUUCCGCGUGUAGCAGUGAAAUGCGUAGAUAUGCGGAGGAACACCGAUGGCGAAGGCAAUCCCCUGGGCCUGUACUGACGCUCAUGCACGAAAGCGUGGGGAGCAAACAGGAUUAGAUACCCUGGUAGUCCACGCCCUAAACGAUGUCAACUGGUUGUUGGGAAUUCACUUUCUCAGUAACGAAGCUAACGCGUGAAGUUGACCGCCUGGGGAGUACGGCCGCAAGGUUAAAACUCAAAGGAAUUGACGGGGACCCGCACAAGCGGUGGAUGAUGUGGUUUAAUUCGAUGCAACGCGAAAACCUUACCCACCUUUGACAUGUAC